rnacentral:rRNA from 1 species
UACAGAGGUCUCAAGCGUUGUUCGGAUUCAUUGGGCGUAAAGGGUGCGUAGGCGGUGCCGUAAGUCGGAUGUGAAAUCUCGGGGCUUAACCCCGAAACUGCAUUCGAUACUGCGGUGCUAGAGGACUGGAGAGGAGAUCGGAAUUCACGGUGUAGCAGUGAAAUGCGUAGAUAUCGUGAGGAAGGCCAGUGGCGAAGGCGGAUCUCUGGACAGUAUCUGACGCUGAGGCACGAAGGCCAGGGGAGCAAACGGG